AGCAGUAGCCACGGGAAUACGAAGGGUGCAAGCGUUACUCGGAAUUGCUGGGCGUAAAGCGUGCGUAGGUGGUGGUUUAAGUCCGUUGUGAAAGCCCUGGGCUCAACCUGGGAAUUGCAGUGGAUACUGGGUCACUAGAGUGUGGUAGAGGAUAGUGGGAUUUCCGGUGUAGCAGUGAAAUGCGUAGAGAUCGGAAGGAACAUCUGUGGCGAAGGCGACUAUCUGGGCCAACACUGACACUGAGGCACGAAAGCGUGGGGAGCAAACAGGAUUAGAUACCCGGGUAGUCCCUGUCUCUUAUAC
rnacentral:rRNA from 1 species